CAGUAGCCGCGGUAAUACAGAGGGUGCGAGCGUUAAUCGGAAUUACUGGGCGUAAAGCGUGCGCAGGCGGUUAUAUAAGACAGAUGUGAAAUCCCCGGGCUCAACCUGGGAACUGCAUUUGUGACUGUAUAGCUAGAGUACGGCAGAGGGGGAUGGAAUUCCGCGUGUAGCAGUGAAAUGCGUAGAUAUGCGGAGGAACACCGAUGGCGAAGGCAAUCCCCUGGGCCUGUACUGACGCUCAUGCACGAAAGCGUGGGGAGCAAACAGGAUUAGAUACCCCCGUAGUCCCUGUCUCUUAUAC
rnacentral:rRNA from 1 species